UGUAUAACACUUAAAAAAAAACUGUAUAACAAACGCUACCCUACCCAUCAGCAUCAGGCCAGCCUUGGCGAGAGCAAACGAAGGGGGAGAAAGCAGAUCGGCGCCGGCGGCGACUCCGCUGAUCCACAGGCCGACUCGGAGCUUCCGCUGGAGCAUACACGCACAUAAAUAUGGGUCUGGAGAUCGCCUGAGCUUCUACCGAAUCACGUCGAUUCCGCCGGACGCCAUUUGCCAAUGCACACCCUGAUGAACAGCUCGAUGAAGGUCACCCAUGUCAACAUGGAAACAGAGGUGCCCGAGCUUCUCCUUCCACCAAAUCACGUCGAUUCCAACGGACGCCUUUUGCCAAAGCACACCCCGAUGAAGAUCACCGAUGUGGAUAUGAAAAUAGAGGCGCUAACAAAUUACAUCAACCUCAGACGAGCAGGAGGAGAGGGGGGCGGUAUGAAGAACAUGGGGAACAAGAAGACCAAGAAGAAGAUUUUCCGUGUGCCGCAGGACGAGCUGGAUGAGAUUCUUUCGUACCAAGCGGCGCCGGCGCCCGCUUGGCAGAGUGCGGCUAAACGCUAUCCCUGGGUCGUCGCUGAGAUGGAGAAGAUCAAGGUGCGCUUUCUCGCCGGGCAGGAGAGGAUGAGGCGGCAGUACGAGGCCCUGGGCUACGCCACGUUUGAAGCGUAGGUCACCGAUGAUGAGCAGGAGGAAGACGCUGCAGUGAUGACUCCUUGCCAGGAGAAUGACGAUGCAGCGGCUACAUCUUCUCCCUGGAUUAUUCCACGGGGAAGAGGCCGAAGAAGGUUUCGUCCGGGGGUCGUCAAGCAAGCAAGCGGCGUUAAGAAAAUAACUUGGGCAUACUAGUUAUUGUUUUUGGUGUGUUUUAGUUUUAGCCGUUGGAUUAGUUCGACACAGUUUAUGGUACUGUAGUGUGUCAUGUAGUAUAACUUAGGCCUAGACUAUGCACUGAUGUGUACACUGUUCUUAACUAUGUGUAAUCCAUGUAUUAGGGUGAUCAUUAGUGCGAGGUAAACCUGUUCAUGGACAACCCGGCCCGAACCCGAAGCCUGACGUUCGGGCCGGGCUUGGGCUCCACUUUCUUACCCAAAAACCCAAAAUAGCCCGAAAUAGCCACAUAUAUAUUCUUCA